rnacentral:rRNA from 1 species
UACGUAGGUGGCAAGCGUUAUCCGGAAUUAUUGGGCGUAAAGCGCGCGCAGGCGGUUUCUUAAGUCUGAUGUGAAAGCCCACGGCUCAACCGUGGAGGGUCAUUGGAAACUGGGGAACUUGAGUGCAGAAGAGAAAAGCGGAAUUCCACGUGUAGCGGUGAAAUGCGUAGAGAUGUGGAGGAACACCAGUGGCGAAGGCGGCCAACUGGACGAAUACUGACGCUGAGACUCGAGAGCGUGGGGAGCAAACAGG